rnacentral:lncRNA from 1 species
GGGGACAUGAGGAAUUCAACAGGGAAGCUUUUAGAAAAGAUUUUUUUCUCUCAGGUUUAAAAAUAAAAAAAUACAUGUAAGAAGUUGUUUUAGUCCUUCCUACUUUCAAUACUAUCAUGUGAGGAUGUGAUUCACAGAACUACUACAGCUUUCUUGUGAACAUGAGGGAAACUAAGAAGUUCAGCCAGAGUCCUGACAUUGGUGAGCUACGGAGACAGCUUUAGGUUUUCCAGGGUUGGAAUUAUGCCCCUGGCCAGUGGUGACUGAUAGUUCUCCCUGAGACCAACCUCUGCCCAGACUGUGAAAGGACAACUUGCAUAUCUUCUGUUGCUGAGUUCCUUCUGGAGAGAAACUACGGUUACCUUCUGUUGAGCUGCCUCGCCAUAGAUCUCCUGCCUCGAUUGCCAGGUUUGUCUGUUCGCAUACCUCUGGAAACUGUAUUUCUCCUGUUUGCCUGAAGAGCCCGGCCCCCGAUCUGUAUCUUGUCCAGGACUGUAAGUGCUCACUGCUCCUGGAAGGUGUGAUUUGUUCCCAGCACCCAAACCCUGGUCUGGUUUGGUCUAUCACAGACUUCCUGAGCUCUGGAAGGAAGGCUUUCCUCCUGAUAUACUCAGAAGCCAUUUCUGUCUUAUUAUCAUCAUCUGACAGAGUUUGGUCUGAAGCUAAUGAACAAUGACAACAAUUGCUUCUUCUGCAGGCUAGGAAGCCUCACCUGCAAUUGUGAAAUGUCAAGCAGAAGUUGAGGUAAAAGAGGAACAAGAAAAUUUUCUUCUGCCCAUUGUACACUUCUAAGAUUAAAGAAAGAGUCUAAAGCUUUUUGAAACCUCUGUACAAGGACAUUUCAACCUCAUUGUUUACAAAAUCAAAGAAAGUAAACUAAUUUUCAUUCCUCAGAUUCUUGAGAAUUAGAAAUGGUGAAGUUUUUUGGUAAAUAUGGCCAGCCAAAAAGGAAGUCUACUCAAAUGCCCACUACGAGUAGAAUGGUAAUUCAGCUGUGGUGUAUUUGUCCAAUAGAACACUGCCUCAGUGAGAGUGAAUAGUCUCCAAACACAUGGAUAAGUUUCAAAAUAUAAUACGGAGUUAAAGAAAUCAGAUGCAUACACAGUGUAUGAUUCAAUUUAUUUAAAGUUCAAAACAGGUAAAUUUAAUGCGUGGUAUUAAAAAUCAGGAUGGUGGCUACCCUUGUGGCAAUGGGGGCUGCCAGAAGGGAACAGAAGAUGGGCUUUUGAGAUUCUGGUCAUGUUCUACUUUUUGAUCUGGGAGCUGGUUACACAUGGUUAGUUUGCAAAAAUUCAAUAAGCUGUCCACGUAUAAUAUGAGCACUUCUCUCUCUCUCUCUCUCUC